rnacentral:lncRNA from 1 species
GUCUGAUUGGACGAGAUCCCAAACUGGGCGGGGUCUGAGCUGGGGGGGCGGGGCCGAAUUAGAUAAUACCGCAAAUCGGGCGUGGCUGGACAGAUGGGCGGGGCUUAAAAGAGCGGUGUCUGAUUGGACGUUGCUGCAAACUGGGCGUGGCCCGACGGGGGGGGGGGGCUUAACGGGGCGGGGCCUGAUUGGACGUUAGCGCAAACUGGGCGUGGCUGGACUAAUGGGCUGGUCCCGAUCGGGGGAGGGGCCUGAUUGGACACUGCCGCAAAGUGGGCGGGGCCAAAACGGAGGGGCGGGGCGGGGCAUAAUCGGGGCGGGGCGCGAUUGGGCGUUAAUCAAAGUGGGCGGGGCCAAAGCGCGCGGGGGGGCGGGGCCGGAUUGGACAUUGCGGCAAAGUGGGGCGGGGCCUGUCAUGGGCGUGGCUUGAGAGGGCGUGGCCUGAUUGGAUGUUGCCUGAAGGGGGCGGGGCCUGAAGGGGUCCUGCACACCACCAUUACAGCCCAGUGCCACCAGUACCGCCAGUAUCACCAGUGCCACCAGUAUGACCAGUACAACCCAGUACAGCCCAGUGCCACCAGUGCCACCAGUAUCACCAGUACAACCCAGUACAGCCCAGUGCCACCAGUACCACCAGUAUCACCAGUAUGACCAUUAUCACCAGUGCUCCCAGUGUCUCCAGAGCUCCCAGUACCACCAUACAAUCCAGUGCCACCAGUACCACCAGUAUGACCAGUACAACCCAUGCCACCAGUAUCACCAGUGCUCCCAGUACCACCAGUGCCACCAGUAUGACCAGUACAACCCAGUACAGCCCAGUGCCACCAGUACCACCAGUAUCACCAGUAUGACCAGUAUCACCAGUGCUCCCAGUGUCUCCAGAGCUCCCAGUACCACCAGUAUCACCAGUACCACCACCAGUACAACCCAGUGCUCCCAGUAUCACCAGUGCCACCAGUAUGACCAGUACAACCCAGUACAGCCCAGUGCCACCAGUAUCACCAGUGCUCCCAGUAUCACCAUACAACCCAGUGCCACCAGUACCACCAGUAUCACCAGUAUGACCAGUAUCACCAGUGCUCCCAGUGUCUCCAGAGCUCCCAGUACCACCAGUAUCACCAGUAUGACCAGUACAACCCAGUGCCUCCAGUGCUCCCAGUACAACCAGUACCACCAGUGCCACCAGUAUCAUCAGGGCUCCCAGUACCACCAGUGCCACCAGUAUCACCAGUACAACC